rnacentral:rRNA from 2 species
UGAAGUCUGGUCUGCCCACUGAAUUAUUGAAGGGCCGCGGUAUUUUGACCGUGCAAAGGUAGCAUAAUCAUUAGUCUUUUAAUUGGGGGCUGGAAUGAAGGGCUGCACGAGGUAUAAACUGUCUUAUUUAAAUUGUUGUUAGAAUUUAAUUUUUAAGUUAAAAAGCUUAAAUUUUUUUAGAGGACGAGAAGACCCUAUAGAACUUUAUAUAAAUUUAAUAUAGGUGGCUUUUGGUUGUUUUUAUAUUUAUUUAUAUUUAUAUUUUGUUGGGGUGAUAGGAAAAUAAUAUUAACUUUUUUUAUUAAUUUACAUUAAUUUAUGGUUAUUUGAUCCAUUUUUAGUGAUUAUAAGAUUAAGUUACCUUAGGGAUAACAGCGUAAUUUUCCCUUAGAGUUCUUAUCGACGGGAAAGCUUGCGACCUCGAUGUUGGAUUAAGAUUAAUUUUUGGUGUAGAAGCUUAAAUAUUAGGUCUGUUCGACCU